rnacentral:rRNA from 1 species
UGGCGGACGGGUGAGUAAUGUCUGGGAAACUGCCUGAUGGAGGGGGAUAACUACUGGAAACGGUAGCUAAUACCGCAUAACGUCGCAAGACCAAAGAGGGGGACCUUAGGGCCUCUUGCCAUCGGAUGUGCCUAGAUGGGAUUAGCUAGUAGGUGGGGUAAAGGCUCACCUAGGCGACGAUCCCUAGCUGGUCUGAGAGGAUGACCAGCCACACUGGAACUGGGACACGGUCCAG